rnacentral:rRNA from 1 species
GACGAACCGUGCGAACGUUGUUCGGAAUCACUGGGCAUAAAGGGCGCGUAGGCGGCUUAUCAAGUCAGGGGUGAAAUCCGGCAGCUUAACUGUCGAAGUGCCCUUGAUACUGAUGAGCUCGAGGGAGAUAGGGGUGUGUGGAACUUCCGGUGGAGCGGUGAAAUGCGUUGAUAUCGGAAGGAACGCCGGUGGCGAAGGCGACACACUGGAUCUCUUCUGACGCUGAGGCGCGAAAGCCAGGGGAGCAAACGGG